GACUGCGUGCAGCACAGCGCCCGGUCCUGCCCGACUCCCACGGGGACGCAAGCGAGGCAGCGGCUCUGGGGUGGCGGGCCCUGCGAGGGUGAGCAUGAGAUGGACAGACGAGAGGACCAGGGCGAGACUGUGACCCCUUCUCUGUGAACCAGCGGCACCGCAGCGCUGGAGAUGGGCUCCCGGCAGGUCGGUGCCUGGCCUGGAACCGGACUCGCUGCCCUUCACGGAGCCGCCGUGCUGGUGCUUUCACGUCACCCACGAGCAGAGGAAAACUGAAGUCCCGCUCUGCCUGUGGUUCCGCUCCACCUGACCCCUCUGUUUUGAGGGACUCAGCCCCCUUGCGUUUGGAGGAGCACCUGCUGCUGACAGACACGGUGCUGUGCCUGGUGUCCUGCAGGGGCCUGGCUCCCUCCGUCCACGCCAGCCUCCUCCACAUCCUCAUUGCGUCCUCGAGCAGAGCCCACGGGCCUUGGUGUUGGCCUUGCCUCCCUCCCUUCUUCCUUCUCUCUGGCCAGGCGAGCCUGCGCCUGGCACUGUAAGAGUGGUGGUGAACAGCGUGACCGGCCAGUGAUGAGGGAGCAUGCAGACCAAGGCUGAGGAUCAGACUUGUGAACGGCGUCUGAGUCCCUGCAGCUGAGGUCAAGGUCUUUGGACAGGAAUCUCAGAGCUGCCCGUCACCCCGCAAGGCUGAUGCUGGGGCUGCCAGGGACCAAGCCCCGCUGCAUGACCGUGCAUCCAGAGCAUCAUGCCCAUCACAGCACGCUUGGGAAGAAGAACUUGGUGUGCUAGGUGCAGCCCAUGGCGGGGCCCUGACUACCACCAGCCCCGGGGCCCAGCCCCUCUGGCCGCCCCCGCCUGAUCCUUCCUGGGCCCCUGCCUCUUGAGGUCGGAGCAAGGCCUUUCUCUAGGUGACAUGCGCAGCAACACCCUGGCAGAGCUUCACAUUUGAAGCUGGCGACAAUCUGUCACUCUCUGGCAUCCCCAAGAAUCCAGUGCACUUGCCACUUCCCGGGGGUCUACGCACACUCGUCCCGCGGCCGGCUCCCUGCGUCUCCCUCUUUUAUCAGCUUCUUUGUAGCUCCACUGCCUCGUUUCCCCCUGCGGUUUGUAGGCAAGGAGCAGCCCGCCGGCCGGUUCUGGAGCAGAACCCUUCCACUGCGAGCUGUUACGGUGGGAUUAAGGCCGCUCUCUUUGCUCUCACGCAGUCAUUCAUUAAAAUGUUUUUUUG